rnacentral:rRNA from 1 species
CUACGGGGUGCAGCAGUGGGGAAUCUUAGACAAUGGGGGAAACCCUGACCUAGCCAUGCCGCGUGAGCGACGACGGCCCUAGGGUUGUAAAGCUCUUUCAGCAGGGAAGAUAAUGACGGUACCUGCAGAAGAAGUCCCGGCUAACUCCGUGCCAGCAGCCGCGGUAAUACGGAGGGGACUAGCGUUGUUCGGAAUUACUGGGCGUAAAGCGCGCGUAGGCGGAUUGUUAAGUCGGGGGUGAAAUCCCGGGGCUCAACCCCGGAACUGCCCUCGAUACUGGCAGUCUUGAGUUCGAGAGAGGUGAGUGGAAUUCCGAGUGUAGAGGUGAAAUUCGUAGAUAUUCGGAGGAACACCAGUGGCGAAGGCGGCUCACUGGCUCGAUACUGACGCUGAGGUGCGAAAGCGUGGGGAGCAAACAGGAUUAGAUACCCUAGUAGUC